rnacentral:rRNA from 1 species
CCCUUAGAUGUUCUGGGCUGCACGCGUGCUACACUGAUAUUGCCAAUAUGUCAUUCUUAUCCGAAAUGGAUUGGGUAAUCAAGUAAUGAAAUUUCAUGCUUGGAAUCGGUAAUUGCAAUUUUAUCGUGAACGAGGAAUUCCUAGUAAGCACUAGUCAUCAGCUAAUGUUGAUUAUGUCCCUGCCCUUUGUACACACCGCCCGUCGCUACUACUGAUUGGGUGUUCAAGUGAGAUGCUUAGACCCUUGUUGCAUGGUUCAUUACUGUGCUCCGAAAGGAAAAAGUUUCAAGCUUGAGUGUCUAGAGGAAGUAAAAGUCGUAACA